rnacentral:lncRNA from 10 species
GGAAGACUUUGGCUGGAGGAUCCCUGGCUGUCUUGCUGAGCUCAGAACUGCAUUGCUCUGUGACACCCUUGCACACAACCUUCCUUCCUUCCCUCUUUCCUUCACCCAGGGCCAGGCCCGCAUCGUGGGCUGAUGGCUCUCCCAGCCUCCCCCAACCCCUGCUGCAUUCUUCCUCACUGGCCUUGCCCUGAUCACAUCUCUCAAGUGGCCAAUGCCAUCUGGGUGUCUGCAUUUUGGAAGAUCAGAAACAACCCACACAGAAAAACAGUGGUGAAAGGACUGCUAGCUGAACCCCAGCAUCUGUUCGCUGUUUCUUCCACAGUGAAGGAAUUUUACCCAGUCUCCUGGAAUGAAGACUACGUUUCCCAGGCUCCCUUGCAGCUAGCUGCAGCGUCACUGCUAGGCCUGGUCCAUAAGAUCUGAAUGCAAGUGAACCCUGCAACUCCUGGAUUGCAUGCCCUCAGAGGGACGUGGUGGCAGUGCUCCUUCAUGGACUCCGCCACAAAAUGCAUGGCACAGGGAAGGGUUUGACAACUUUUUGAUGGAUGAACAAAGAAGAUUCAAGCCACUUGUCAACAAGCUCAAAGUGAUUGAAAGUGGAAGCAUUUACCCACACGCUCAUGCAGAAAAUGACAGGAAAUCAUCCAGAGACACUUGUGACAGAGAUGAGAACUGUCACUGUUGAGAGGUGCUGCGGAGAUGGGUGUCCACGGAUGACCGUUCGGAGGCCGACUUCGGGGAUGUGGCCCCAUUAGCUCAAGAGUAAUCUUAGCCAGGAGCUAUGUCUCAUGUCAAUAAUCG